AGCUUUGUUUUUAAACGUACCAGCUAAUAUUUGCUUGUUUUAAAAAUUUAUUUUAGCUAACGCGCAAGCAUUCCGCCUGGGGACUACGGCCGCAAGGUUGAAACUCAAAGGAAUUGACGGAGGAUCACACAAGCGGUGGAGCAUGUGGCUUAAUGCGUAAUAACGCGCAAAACCUUACCAGUUUUUGAAUGUUAAAGGAUUUACUUUCAUGCAGUAAAAUUAUCAUUUCUUCUAUUCUUUUGAGUUAAAAAAAUGAAAUU
rnacentral:rRNA from 1 species